UUCACCACCUCUAGACUACCAAAUGGCGAGCUGCGAGCAUCGAUAGACUCGUCUCUUCCUCCUUAUCACGCAUGUGGGAGUUGUUUACGACGAUUUGGCCGGAAAUGUGGAGAUCGAAGCCAACAUUUUUACUGUAGCAAAUUAGUCAACGCCGAUUUCCGGCCACCUCCAGUCAUAAACCCAGGUCCAUUAGAAGCGCCUUAAGCCGCUCUUCAUGCUCGCCAAGUCUCAUAACCCAGAUCGAAGCAUGGAGGAAGAAAGCAUAAUUGGAAAAUUUCACUGUACAUCGGAGUGCUUAAUUGUUCGGCUACUUCAAGGGCAAUGUUGCGAGCUACGGCUAGAUGAAGGAACUCGUUUUCGUGGUCGCCAACCAGUAUUAUUUAUAUUUGGCUUUUAGAAGACGCAGCGGGAAUUAGAGCGGGUAAUCCUACAGGACAGGAGAAUCAGGAAGGUGAUCGAGCUGUGUAGAGUAGCUGCUUGUGAUACUCUGAUUUUAUGUUGUGAGGUUCGUUAUGCUCGUUUAGAGUUUUACAAUUUUACUUUGUAAGAGGGAAUUGUAAUAAUUAACUCGAAGUUUACCGAUUUGGAAAUUUUGUGUAAGUGGUGGAGUUGUUUCUGAGAAAAGAAUUCAGAACGUUUAUUUGUUUAA